AAACGAAAAUUGCCAACUUUGAUGAAACGCCGAAAGGUUGUUCCGUCGGCCAAGUUUCGUUCCAAAUUAAUAGAGGGAGGAACGAUCGUUCCCGAUUGUCCGCGGUAGAGAGAGGAUAGCAGAGAGGAAAGAAAGAGAGCGCCCAGUUCGGUUCUUCACCUCAGAGACAGAGAUCGAUUAGCUAAACAAAGUUCUGGUUUCGAAUAGUUUGGAACUCGCACAGAGAGAGGAGAGAAGAAGGAGAAGAAGGAGCUCGCCCCCUUGUGGAAUCUCCUCUGCAGAGCAGGUAUUGGGACAAAUUUUAGGGUUUUUCUAGACCCCCUAUACAGAGAGCUUUGGAUAUAAGUGUGAAGAAGCUUUGGUGAUAGUAAUGGCCACAGCAGCUAUGGGAGAAGUAAUUGGGCCCAUUGCAAUGGUCGCAGUUGGUAUUUUGGUAGUGUGGUGUGGAUGGAGAGUACUUAGAUUGGAUAUGGUUGCAGCCCAAGAAGCAAGAGAGGUUUCUGAAGAAGCAAGGCUUCAAUAUCACUCCAUACAAGAUUCCAUUUGGUGACAUGUUUGAGAUAGGGAAGAUGCAUAUGGAAGCCGAG